CUGCAUGUAGAACUGUCUCUCCUUCAUUUCUUUAGGAACAGGAAUAUAUCCACGACAUGCUGCAUUAAAAGAGUUCUCAGGGCUGCCAUCUUAUAGUAGAUGUUGAGUAGUGGUAGUAUACUUCUCUUACAUAA
ensembl:snoRNA